UAGAUCGCUCUAUCAUGCAGUCGAGCGGACGGUGAGGAGCUUGCUCCUCUGUUUUAGCGGCGGACGGGUGAGUAACACGUGGGUAAUCUGCCUGUAAGACGGGGAUAACUCCGGGAAACCGGGGCUAAUACCGGAUAAUUCCAUGAAACGCAUGUCUUCUUUUUGAAAGACGGUUUCGGCUGACACUUACAGAUGAACCCGCGGCGCAUUAGCUAGUUGGUGAGGUAACGGCUCACCAAGGCGACGAUGCGUAGCCGACCUGAGAGGGUGAUCGGCCACACUGGGACUGAGACACGGCCCAGACUCCUACGGGAGGCAGCAGUAGGGAAUCUUCCGCAAUGGACGAAAGCCUGACCGAGCAACGCCGCGUGAGCGAUGAAGGCCUUCGGAUCGUAAAGCUCUGUUGUUAGAGAAGAACAAGUGCAAGAGUAACUGCUCGUACCUUGACGGUACCUAACCAGAAAGCCACGGCUAACUACGUGCCAGCAGCCGCGGUAAUACGUAGGUGGCAAGCGUUAUCCGGAAUUAUUGGGCGUAAAGGGCUCGCAGGCGGUCUCUUAAGUCUGAUGUGAAAGCCCACGGCUCAACCGUGGAGGGUCAUUGGAAACUGGGAGACUUGAGUGCAGAAGAGAAGAGUGGAAUUCCACGUGUAGCGGUGAAAUGCGUAGAGAUGUGGAGGAACACCAGUGGCGAAGGCGACUUUUUGGUCUGUAACUGACGCUGAGGAGCGAAAGCGUGGGGAGCAAACAGGAUUAGAUACCCUGGUAGUCCACGCCGUAAACGAUGAGUGCUAAGUGUUGGGGGGUUUCCCCCCUCAGUGCGGAGCUGAUCACAUUUUACACUCUCCCUGGGGGAGUACGAGCGUCACGGUAGAGACUCACAGGAGUAGUGAGGGGGCGCGCGCAAAAGCUGGUAGCAUGUGUGUUAUUUCUAAGAAACACGCGGAGCCUCUCCACCGUGUUGUGAUCCUCUUGACCACUCUCUAGAUAGUAGCUUUCUCCCUCUCGGGGACAAAGUGACAGUGGUGCAUGGUGUCGUCAGCUCGUGUCGUGAGAUGUGGUUAGUCCGCACGAGCGCACCCUGAUCUAGUGGCAGCAUCAGUGGCACUCUAGGUGACUGCCGUGACAACCGAGAGUGGGGAUGACGUCAAUCAUCAAUGGCCCUAUGACUGCUCAACGUCUCAAUGUAGAUAGAAGGUUGAC
rnacentral:rRNA from 1 species